ensembl:Mt_tRNA
UAGGCAGAAGCCAAUUGGUGUUGGCAUUUAGCUGUUAACUAAAAUUGUAUGGGAUCGAAGCCCAUCUGUCUAG